UACGGGGGGGGCAAGCGUUGUUCGGAAUUACUGGGCGUAAAGGGCUUGUAGGUGGCCAACUAAGUCAGACGUGAAAUCCCUCGGCUUAACCGGGGAACUGCGUCUGAUACUGGAUGGCUUGAGUGUGGGAGAGGGAUGCGGAAUUCCGGGUGGAGUGGUGAAAUGCGUAGAGAUCCGGAGGAACACCAGAGGCGAAGGCGGCCUACUGGGCUGCACCUGACGCUGAGCCGCGAAAGCCAGGGGAGCGAACGGG
rnacentral:rRNA from 1 species